GCGCACGUCUCGGCGGGGCGGAGCCAGCGUGGGGCACGUAUUCUUGGCCGCCGAGAGAUGGGGAAGGCAGAGCCGGUCCUUUCCUCCUGGAUCAGGACGCAAGUCCCAAGAGAGAACUGGACAUGCGGCCUUUUGCAGACACACAGCAGCUGUCCGGGCUCCCCACCUCGCGCAGCAAAACAAACGCUUCCCUCCAGACUUAGGACUUGUGAUCAUAAGUUUUAUUAGUCUUAGGAGGAGAAGAUCAUCGAUAGUUCCUCAAAUUUUAAAAAAAGUACAAAAGUUACAUACAAAACGUUGAGAUCAGACGACUAAACUUUCCCGACUCAGGCCCAAGUUCUGCAAGGGAAAAAGAAAGAAGGAUGUGAGCUGGAGAGGACUGGAGAAGAGGGUCCAGGAAGGCUCUUAGAGCCAGGGCCGCGAUGAAGCAGGUUGCCCACCGCUGAGUUCAGUGACCGUAAAGUUAGCCAGCAUGGACUGAGACGCGGCCCCGUGCUGGGCCUGCAUUCACAGUGCUCCCUUGAUGCUCACGACGCCCCCGUGACGGCGGGACCCUUGCAGAGAAGGAAACCAGCGGCUCGUCUGAGGUCACAUGGUGUGAGUGGCAGGGUUCUGAUUUACCAGCGCUGACAGCAGCAAUGUCCAACAGCUAGUGGGCGGGGAACGCUCUAUGUAGGCCAAGCCCCGCAGUUAAUGCGGGACACACCAGGUCACCGGAUCCCAACUCACCCUGUACAGCGGGCUCUACCAUGGCCCCAUUUUACAGAGGAGGAAACUGGGGCUGAGAGGGGAGGUCAUUCACUGGGCUUCCCAACAGGUAAGGUGUCCAGCCAGGCCUCAAACCUCCACCUGCCCAAGCUUGCAACGACUGCCUAUGAUUUUACCUGGACCAUAUUACACUGGAGUUAUGGCACGUGGAAACCUUAAAUAUGAGGAUGCCAACACACAGCCAUCUGAGCUACAUUUCCAUCACGUAAUUCACGCACUCUCUCCCGCCACGGGGGAUUCUAUUGCCCAGAAGGGUUCCAGGAUAUAUCCCAUGGGUUCUGAAGGAUCGACCUCAAUUUGGGACUCCAUCUCUUCCACACACACGGGUCCUAUCGCCCCAAAGGGUUCCAUCCCAGAGGAAGAGGCCCUUGAAGGCGAAAGUGCCUACAGCCCAUAAAAGUCACGGCAUGGCCCUGGUUCUCUGCCCACCAGGGUCCCCUACGCAAGUUUCAUGGCGUAGCUAGUGCCUCCUUUAGGUGCCGCCCGGCACUCUGUACCCCGCGAGAGCUGUACCUCAGGGACAUCUGCACACCCAGCUGUACACCAACAAAGCUCUAUCCAGAGCUCAGCGCCCCAUGCCACAUGCCCCUAGGAGAAGGUUCUAGCAUGCAAACCAGCGGUUCUCAACGUGUGGUCCUGUCUGGGAGGCCAAGCCGCUCUACUGAUAACACUCAGCCAUUGUUUGCCCUUCUCACCCUCCUUCGCCAGUAGAGGUGCAGGCAGGGGAGCUUUCCACAGGCUCCAUCACAUGUGAUGAUGUCAUUUGCUCUGAUGGUAAUGGACCGUGUGCUUGUGUGCCAGAUUCAAUUUCUAAUAUGUUAAACAACUAUAAAUAUAACCCACAAAAACUUAAACAAAACUUCUUUGAGACCCU